rnacentral:rRNA from 1 species
GUGGGGAAUAUUGGACAAUGGGCGAAAGCCUGAUCCAGCCAUGCCGCGUGUGUGAAGAAGGUCUUCGGAUUGUAAAGCACUUUAAGUUGGGAGGAAGGGCAGUAAGUUAAUACCUUGCUGUUUUGACGUUACCGACAGAAUAAGCACCGGCUAACUUCGUGCCAGCAGCCGCGGUAAUACGAAGGGUGCAAGCGUUAAUCGGAAUUACUGGGCGUAAAGCGCGCGUAGGUGGUUUUGUAAGUUGGAGGUGAAAUCCCCGGGCUCAACCUGGGAACUGCCUCCAGAACUGCAUGACUAGAGUACGGUAGAGGGUAGUGGAAUUUCCUGUGUAGCGGUGAAAUGCGUAGAUAUAGGAAGGAACACCAGUGGCGAAGGCGACUACCUGGACUGAUACUGACACUGAGGUGCGAAAGCGUGGGGAGCAAACAGGAUUAGAAACCCGUGUAGUCC